GACGUAGGGCGCGAGCGUUGUCCGGAUUUAUUGGGCGUAAAGAGCUCGUAGGCGGCUUGUCGCGUCGAAUGUGAAAACUCGGGGCUCAACUCCGAGCUUGCAUUCGAUACGGGCAGGCUAGAGUUCGGUAGGGGAGACUGGAAUUCCUGGUGUAGCGGUGAAAUGCGCAGAUAUCAGGAGGAACACCGGUGGCGAAGGCGGGUCUCUGGGCCGAUACUGACGCUGAGGAGCGAAAAGCGUGGGGAGCGAACAGG
rnacentral:rRNA from 1 species